GAUGAACGCUGGCGGCGUGCCUAACACAUGCAAGUCGAGCGAACGGACGAGAAGCUUGCUUCUCUGAUGUUAGCGGCGGACGGGCGAGUAACAAGUGGAUAACCUACUUCUAAGUCUGGGAUAACUUCGGGAAAACGGAGCUAAUACUGGCUAAUAUUUUGAACCGCAUGGAUCAAAAGUGAAUGACGGUCUUGGCGUCUCAUUUAGAUGGAUUCGGGUUGCAUUAGUUAGUUGGUAAGGUAACGACCCACAAAGGCAACGAUGCAUAGCCGACGUGAGAGGAUGAUCGGCCCCACUGGAACUGAGACACGGUCCAGACUCCUACGGGAGGCAGCAGUGGGGAAUAUUGGACAAUGGGCGAAAGCCUGAUCCAGCAAUACCGCGUGGGUGAAGAAGGCCUUCGGGUUGUAAAGCCCUUUUGUUGGGAAAGAAAAGCAGCAGGUUAAUAGCACGCUGUUUUGACGGUACCUAAAGAAUAAGCACCGGCUAACUUCGUG
rnacentral:rRNA from 1 species